UUUCCGUCUCUAGCUGCCGUGGGGCGUGUGGCGCUGGCGCGGAGCAGGGGACCAGGCUUCCCGAUGGGGAAGGAGCCGCCCGCGGGGACGCUGACCAGGCCCCAGGCAGCACCGUGGGCCCCAGGCGGGGCGGCCCUGAGGCAGGCGGGGCGCCACGUGGCGUCUCUGCGCCUGGGGCCGAGGCGGGGCCGGGCUCUGCCUGAGGGGGGGGCCGAGCUGUUGGAAAUGUGCCGCUUCCCUCCGGCGGCUGCGCCUUGGAGCGGGGGCCGGCGUGUGGGGGGGCAAACACCAGCCCCCCCGGCGGGCUUCGUGAGCCGGGCCCGGCCAGGCUCAUUCCUGUGUGGACGGAAGGGGCCUGCGGCUUGAACCUGAGUCUGGGUUCGUGUGCUGUGUAGCCGGGGCCUUAGCAGCAGGGAACAGCCGGGGCUUGCGAGCGCUGAGCCGAGACCCCCCCCCCACGCAUGGAGCGUCCCCCAGGCCCGGGGAUUGUUCUACUGACAAGAUCUGCCAGGCAUGCUUGGAAUCUGGAAGUUCAUAUUACUUAGCUGUUGUUCAGCCAUUAAAUUAUUACUCUUGACUUGUGAAAGGUGAACUAAGACUGUUCUGACUGCACUUGUUGACAUGUAAUUGUGAAGAGUUCCUAUGUUCCAUCUGAAUUUCUUCUUUCAUCUUUAACGAAGAUGCUUGAAAAUUGUUCAAUUUGCUUCCUCUUUUUCAUUGAGGGGGUUAAAGUAAUUUAGUUGCUGAUGUAAUGCUUUUUAUAGUGGAAAAAGUAGUGGUGAAGGCAAGAAAUCGGUCUCAAAGCAUUUGUUUCAACUACAACCUGUGAAUCUUGGGAGGUUGCUUUUGGAGGCUGUUAUAAAAAUCCUCUUCAUUUGUAUUGAUAAUAAACAUGAUAUGCUGCCCUUGGUUUAAA